rnacentral:rRNA from 1 species
GAUGAACGCUAGCUACAGGCUUAACACAUGCAAGUCGAGGGGCAGCAUGGUCUUAGCUUGCUAAGGCCGAUGGCGACCGGCGCACGGGUGAGUAACACGUAUCCAACCUGCCGUCUACUCUUGGACAGCCUUCUGAAAGGAAGAUUAAUACAAGAUGGCAUCAUGAGUCCGCAUGUUCACAUGAUUAAAGGUAUUCCGGUAGACGAUGGGGAUGCGUUCCAUUAGAUAGUAGGCGGGGUAACGGCCCACCUAGUCUUCGAUGGAUAGGGGUUCUGAGAGGAAGGUCCCCCACAUUGGAACUGAGACACGGUCCAAACUCCUACGGGAGGCAGCAGUGAGGAAUAUUGGUCAAUGGGCGAGAGCCUGAACCAGCCAAGUGGCGUGAAGGAUGACUGCCCUAUGGGUUGUAAACUUCUUUUAUAAAGGAAUAAAGUCGGGUAUGCAUACCCGUUUGCAUGUACUUUAUGAAUAAGGAUCGGCUAACUCCGUGCCAGCAGCCGCGGUAAUACGGAGGAUCCGAGCGUUAUCCGGAUUUAUUGGGUUUAAAGGGAGCGUAGAUGGAUGUUUAAGUCAGUUGUGAAAGUUUGCGGCUCAACCGUAAAAUUGCAGUUGAUACUGGAUAUCUUGAGUGCAGUUGAGGCAGGCGGAAUUCGUGGUGUAGCGGUGAAAUGCUUAGAUAUCACGAAGAACUCCGAUUGCGAAGGCAGCCUGCUAAGCUGCAACUGACAUUGAGGCUCGAAAGUGUGGGUAUCAAACAGGAUUAGAUACCCUGGUAGUCCACACGGUAAACGAUGAAUACUCGCUGUUUGCGAUAUACGGCAAGCGGCCAAGCGAAAGCGUUAAGUAUUCCACCUGGGGAGUACGCCGGCAACGGUGAAACUCAAAGGAAUUGACGGGGGCCCGCACAAGCGGAGGAACAUGUGGUUUAAUUCGAUGAUACGCGAGGAACCUUACCCGGGCUUAAAUUGCAGAUGAAUUACGGUGAAAGCCGUAAGCCGCAAGGCAUCUGUGAAGGUGCUGCAUGGUUGUCGUCAGCUCGUGCCGUGAGGUGUCGGCUUAAGUGCCAUAACGAGCGCAACCCUUGUUGUCAGUUACUAACAGGUUCCGCUGAGGACUCUGACAAGACUGCCAUCGUAAGAUGUGAGGAAGGUGGGGAUGACGUCAAAUCAGCACGGCCCUUACGUCCGGGGCUACACACGUGUUACAAUGGGGGGUACAGAGGGCCGCUACCACGCGAGUGGAUGCCAAUCCCCAAAACCUCUCUCAGUUCGGACUGGAGUCUGCAACCCGACUCCACGAAGCUGGAUUCGCUAGUAAUCGCGCAUCAGCCACGGCGCGGUGAAUACGUUCCCGGGCCU